ACCUGGUUAGCUCAGUUGGUAGAGAGCUGCACUGAAAAUGGAGAGGCCCCUGGUUCGAUAUCAGGACCAGGCA
rfam:Ixodes scapularis strain Wikel colony gcontig_1108379837768, whole genome shotgun sequence.